CAGCUCCUAUGUGCUGGCUUCAUGCCAGGUACUGGAUGGAGGGUGAUGGCCUUUGAAGCUAGCUGGGUGCUUUGGAAGCAGGCAGUGAGGUGGGAGUUAAGGAUCCUCUUUGGGAUUCAGAAUGCAGAGGGGAGUGUGAACUGAGAACCCCUCUCUUGGGGCUGCCGAUGUCAGGAACCCAGAGCACCAGAAGUUUUCCUUUAAGCCUUGUCUUCCCACAGUGCUUCCAAGGACAGGACACUGCAGGUACAGUUAUCUGCUCUGUCACAUCUGCACAGCAUUGGUCAUCUUGUUCUCUUCAGAUACUGGACACUUGAAAGUUUGUCUCAAUGAUCUAUUAAUGCACUCAAACCACACUAAAUUAGCUUUGUCAUCUGGUCCAGGUUAGGCUGGGCAAUUCUGCUGGUUUCAUUUAGGCUCACCCAGGCAGCUGAAGACACCUUGGUGCAGCAUGGUCUAAGUUGGCCUUGCCUGGCCUGGGGUAGCUGCCGUUGGCUGAGCCGUACAUCUCCAGCAGGCUAGCCUGGGCUCCUCCAUUGGAUGCAGCCUUCCCAGAGCAAGCCACAUGUGCAACCGCUUCCCAAGCCGCUGCUUACAUUGCAUUUGCUGCUGUCCCAUUGGCUAAAGCGGGUCAUGUGACCAAGCCGGCGGCCAAUGUAGGAGAGGAUUACACAAGAGGGGUGUGGCUCCUGGGCACUCAUGGCUGUACCAACCUACGACCAAUUCCCCUGAGCGCCAGGCUGUUUCCUGCCUCUGCACCAUCGCCCAAGCUUUCCCCUUCGCUUGUUAUGCCCUGCUGGGCGAUCUCCUACUCGGGCAAGUCACAAGCUUCUCUGUGUCUCAGCCUCCUCCUCUGUAAAAUGGGGAUCACAUGAGUUUAAGUUAUUCUGAGGAUUAAACAAGUUAACACACAAACAUUUAAAACAGUGUCUAGCACGCAGUAGGUCCUCCAGAGAUGCCAGCCAUCACCAUCACAGUGGUGAUUCUUGGUAUGACGACCCCUGCCCUCUUCAAAGCCCCGUUUAAGGAAUCUCCUCUCUGAAGCUGUCUCUGGUUCUCUCCAGGCAAGCAUCCUCCCCCAGGCCUGGCCCUAUAAUUAUCUUUUCCUCAUCCACCUACUCCAUCUACAGUAGGAUCCAGAGGGAAGGGAAUCCCAGGGCCCAGCCCAGGGAGUGCGAACUAUCUGAUUUCCUCUGCAAUUAGGGAGGCAAGACAGUCCUCGGUGGCCCCAUUUGACAGAGGUGAAAACUGCCGCUGUAGGAGAUGUGCUGAUUUGCCCGGGGUUGCGCAGCUGGUAGGUGGGUGAGCUGGGAGUGGAGCCAGGUUGGGCUGUAGCAGCUGUGUUUGCCCUGCCUCACUGUCCAGCUCCCACCUGGGCCGGGUGUCGGGGUCUCAAAGAGAAGGCAGAUACCGGCUCUGCCGCACAGAGCUCACAGUUUGGUGGAGGAGGAAGGCUCAAGCAGAGAGCAGGAGGUGUGAGUAGCUCUGUGGGCUGUGGGGGCCAGAUGGGUCCUCGACCCUGCGGGGUCAGAGCUGGCUGCCCAGAAGACAUGAAAUGGAAUAAGCAGAGUGACAUGCUCUGGGCCACAAACAGGGUGUGUGGCCGCCCUGAACACAUCACUGCAGCCACCUCCACAGCCACAGCCCUAGCCCUGUGGGUCAUGGGGAUGUGACCCUCCCCACUACCUCCCAUCACUGAGGACACACCUCCUGGGCCUCCAGUAACUACCCAGGCCUCCACACCUGCUACACCAUGAUGGUGCAGCCCGCCUCCCCAACGCCUUCAGCCCUGUGGAAAUUUUCUCUGGAGAUUCUAAUACCCCGGCCUCCUUGAGGUCAGUGUCUGCCCAGAGCCUCCCGGCAGGAGAGAAGAAACCCCACAGCUCUUUAGGGAAUGCCUGCCUGUCCAAAUGGACAAAGACAAGCUGUGCAGAAACCUCCCCUGGGAGGACUGAGCCAUCACCUGAGGAAUGGGAGUCUGUGGAAACGUGAGUCACCUCUGUGGGAAUAAAGCCUUUCAUCUGGACAUCGAAAUGGCCACCAGCUCCCUGAGUGACUUUGGGCAAGUCAUGCCCCACUCCAAGCCUCAGAAAGCCGACCUGUGAGAUGAGGAUGAAAGUAACCCCCUCAUGGGCCUGCCAUCCCACCACCAUGGCGCACUCCACCUGAAUGACCUUGAGGACUGUGACCGUUGCUGUGUGCAUCUGUGCUGCUUCCCGUUUCAUUGCUGAGUGGUGUUCCUGUAAAUGGAUAUGCCACUGUCUGCUUCUUCACUCACCAGACAGGGUCUUGCUGUGGUACCCAGGUUGGAGUGCAGAGGCAUGAUCUUGGCUCACUGCAGCCGCCACCUCCCAGGAGUGAUCCUCCCACCUCACCCUCCCAAAUAGGUGGGACUACCAGCAUGCACCGACACACCUAGCUAAUUUUUGUUAUUUUUUGUAGAGAGGGGGUUUUGUCAUGUUGCCCAGGUUGGUCUUGAACUCCCGGGGUCAAAUGAUCCACCUGCCUUGGCCUCCUGAAGUACUAGGAUUGCAGGCAUGAGCCACCAUGCCCAGACUAAUUCCUGUUUUCAAUUUUAGGUAGUCAUUUGAUUAUUGAGUUGUAGAAAUCUUACUUUUGGAUUAAUAUAUUAAAAACUAUCACCAGUUAGCCAUGUGUUAACUGCUUAGUUUUUCAACCAAACUUCAAUCAUCAGCCAGCCCUCACUUUCAGCCCAGAUCGACGGGCUCAACGCUUGGUGAUCGGUUAACUCCUUGUUUUUUAGCUAAUGCUUUAAUUAGCAAUUACCAUCUUUGUCUUCAGCUAAACAUCAUACUUCUCAAUGCUUUGGUUAUCAGCUAAUGUCUUCUUUUUCAGCUAACACUUUAGUGGACAUUAAUACCCUUGUUAACGUAUGUUACUUCAACCAGAUUAGACCUGGCUGCAUUGGGAAAGGAAAGUGGGGGGCUUGACAAGGAACGUGAAGACAUUAAAGGCAAAACCUCUGAGUUAAUGAAGGGAGUCCUCCAAGAGAGUUCUUUCCUUCACGAGCUGGAGCCUGGCUCUCCAUGAAAGCUUUUUGAAUGAAUGAAUGAAUGGGUGA
rnacentral:lncRNA from 10 species